rnacentral:rRNA from 1 species
GACGAACGCUGGCGGCGUGCUUAACACAUGCAAGUCGAACGGAAAGGCCCUGCUUUUGUGGGGUGCUCGAGUGGCGAACGGGUGAGUAACACGUGAGUAACCUGCCCUUGACUUUGGGAUAACUUCAGAAAACUGGGGCUAAUACCGGAUAGGAGCUCCUGCUGCAUGGUGGGGGUUGGAAAGUUUCGGCGGUUGGGGAUGGACUCGCGGCUUAUCAGCUUGUUGGUGGGGUAGUGGCUUACCAAGGCUUUGACGGGUAGCCGGCCUGAGAGGGUGACCGGCCACAUUGGGACUGAGAUGCGGCCCAGACUCCUCCGGGAGGCAGCAGUGGGGAAUAGUGCACAAUGGGCGGAAGCCUGAUGCAGCAACGCCGCGUGCGGGAUGACGGCCUUCGGGUUGUAAACCGCUUUCGCCUGUGACGAAGCGUGAGUGACGGUAAUGGGUAAAGAAGCACCGGCUAACUACGUG